AUUGAACGCUGGCGGCAGGCCUAACACAUGCAAGUCGGACGGUAGCACAGAGGAGCUUGCUCCUCGGGUGACGAGUGGCGGACGGGUGAGUAAUGUCUGGGGAUCUGCCCGAUAGAGGGGGAUAACCACUGGAAACGGUGGCUAAUACCGCAUAACGUCGCAAGACCAAAGAGGGGGACCUUCGGGCCUCUCACUAUCGGAUGAACCCAGAUGGGAUUAGCUAGUAGGCGGGGUAAUGGCCCACCUAGGCGAGGAUCCCUAGCUGGUCUGAGAGAAUAACCAGCCACACUGGAACUGAGACACGGUCCAGACUCCUACGGGAGGCAGCAGUGGGGAAUAUUGCACAAUGGGCGCAAGCCUGAUGCAGCCAUGCCGCGUGUAUGAAGAAGGCCUUCGGGUUGUAAAGUACUUUCAGCGGGGAGGAAGGCGGUGCGGUUAAUAACCGCGCCGAUUGACGUUACCCGCAGAAGAAGCACCGGCUAACUCCGUGCCAGCCGCCGCCGUAA
rnacentral:rRNA from 1 species